rnacentral:lncRNA from 1 species
GAUGAGAUAAUAAUAUGUUCGUUUUAUUUGCAAGAUUUAACUUUAGAUGUUUGAUUCAUGGAUUUUGGCAAACCUGAUCUAAUUUCUUCAUAUUUAUAAUUUUUCAGAAAAAAAAUGAACUAUGGGAAAGGAAGGUGGCCGUGUUGGGCUCUCGAUGAAAUCACCCAAGAAGAAGUAAAAAAUUUCUCGAAAGAACUUCAGAGAAGCAAAAUACGUUUCAACCCUACAGCUGGCUUCUGAGUUUGUUACCUCCUUCUAGUCAGUCUCUCAACGAAGAAGAAAAUGAAUGGGAAUCAGAUGAUUCUGAUGCUGAGAAAUUUCCUGAAUGUUUAUCCUCAAUUGCUCUUUCUACAAAGGACAAAGUUUUGUCCAACAAAAUAAUGAUAAAUCUCUGCAAGUUCUACCAAACGAUGAAUCUAUGUUGCUCGGCGCAAAAGAAGAGCAAAAGAGUUUCUCUAAAACAGGUGAUACAAGAGAGCAACAAGAAUUAAUUUUAAAAUUUUUACUGCAAUCGAUUAACGAAGAAAACUGCACCAAGGAGAAAAAUUAAAAAGAGUUAAGCGUUCUAAAAGCUUAGACGAUUUUUCUUAAUCAUUUUCAUUGAAAAGGCCAGUGUAUCAAUCAAGUGUGAGGAAAAGAAGGCGAUUUUUGUCAUCUAGUUGCUGAAGUUUUGAAGGACCGGACUUAUGUUCUUGGAAAAUAUUUUUAUUUACCGUGGUUUCAGAAUUCUGGGAAGAACUCACUCACCAUUCUUGUCACAUCUCUCGCACAGACUAUUAAUUCAUUUUUUGAACAAGCCUGUCAUGAAGUGCUGCUACCUCUCUUAAAUUCACCUCAAUCUGGUCUGGUACAGGAUCCAGCUGUGGUAAAAGAUAUACUGGCAUUGUGCAAUCCUGAAUGUUGGUGGUUUUUAUUGAGAAAUUUUCUUGUUCUCCUCAAUAAAGACAAGUUGGCUGAAUGGCAUCUCCCUGCUUUAGAUUUUCUGUGCCAUGAGACGGAGGAACUGGAUGUUUCGUCGCAUACGGAAUCCAUCGUUAACGAACUAACCAAUCUGCUACGAGUAAACUCUGUUGAUUUCAGCAAGAAUCGAUAUUUUGGCAAUAUCAUUUUGCUGCUCAUCAACAUUGUGAAGAAGCAUCAGAAAAUUGUAAAUUUAGAUAUUAUUACAUCUCAACUAACCUCGAUUAUACAGUUCCACAAAGGCCCAACGAAGUACAAAGCUAGUCAGAUGCUGAAGAAAUUAACUGCGGAAAGGCCUUAG